UGGAAUGAGUACAAUCUAAAUCCCUUAACGAGGAUCAUUGGAGGGCAAGUCUGGUGCAGCAGCCCGGAAUUUCAGCUCCAAUAGCGUAUAUUAAGUUGUUGCAGUUAAAAGCUGUGUUGGACUUUGGGUUGGGUCGGCCGGUCCGCCUCAGGUGUGCACCGGUUUACUCGUCCCUCUCUGUCGGCGAUCGCUCCUACCCUUAACUGGGCGGGUCGUGCUCGCGUUGUUACUUUGAAGAAAUUAGAGUGCUCAAAGCAAGCCUACGCUCUGAUGUUACAUUAGCAUGGGAUACAUCAUAGGAUUUCGGUCCUAUUACGUUGGCCUUCGGGAUCGGAAGUAAUGAUUAACAGGGCAGUCGGGAGCAUUCGUAUUUCAUAGUCAGAGUGAAAUUCUUGGAUUUAUGAAAGACGAACUAAUGCGAAAGCAUUUGCAAGGAGUUUUAUUAAUCAGAACGAAAGUUGGGGCUCGAAUACGAUCAGAUACCGUCCUAGUCUCACCAUAAACGAUGCCCAGGGAUCAGCGGAUGUUGCUUUUAGACUCCGUGGCACCUUAUGAGAAUCAAAGUUUUUGGGUUCCGAGGGAGUAUGGUCGCAGGCUGAAACUUAAAGGAAUUGACGGAAGAGGCACCACAGGAGUGAGCCUGCGGCUAAUUUGACUCACACGGGGAAACUUACCAGGUCCAACAUAGUAAGGAUUGACAGACUGAGAGCUCUUCUUGAUUCUAUGGGUGGUGAGUGCAUGGCGUUUUAGUUGGUGGAUGCGAUUUUGUCGGUUAUUCCGUUAACGAACGAACCUAGCUGUAACUAGCUAUGUGGAGGUAUCCUCAUGCCAGCUUCUUGAGGGACUAUGGCUUUUAGGCCACGGAAGUUUGAGGCAAUAACAGGUCUGUGAUGCCCUUAGAUGUUUGGGCCGCACGCGCGCUACACUAUGAUUCAACGAGUAUAUAGCCUUGGCCGACAGGCCGGGAAUCUUUGAAAUUUCAUCUGAUGGAUAGAUCAUUGCAAUUGUUGGUCUUAAACGAGGAUUCUAGUAGCGCGAGUCAUCAGCUGCGUUGACUAGUCCUGCCUUUGUAACACCGCCGUCGUCUACCGUGAAUGGUCGGUGAAGUUUAGGGAUAGUGCGACGUGGGCGGUUCGCUGCCGCGACGUCGCGAAAUUCCAUGAACCUUAUCAUUUAGAGAAAGAGUCGUAACAGGUUUCGUAGUGAACCUGCGGUAGGAUCAUUG
rnacentral:ncRNA from 1 species